GAGAUCUACACCAGCAAGAUGUUCAAAACCAGAAAAGGGGAGCAAUCUCAGAUCAACAGAGAAGCAGAGCUGCUCAAACUCCAGUUGUGCUGCUGCAUGCCAUGGAAUAUGAAACACCGGGAUACAGCUGUGAUGGGCCUAAACAGACAAAAGGGCUACAAGAAGAGCUGCUGCCAGUUUUGGAGCACAAUUCCAACACAUUUGCAAAUGCUGUUGAAGAACUCGGUUUAGCUGAGAUCAAACUGGUCACCCUAGGAACAAAAAGUACAGGUGCUUCAGAAGACAGUUUCACUUUGUUUAGUUGUACCCCAAG
rnacentral:lncRNA from 1 species